UCCAUGUACAGCAUACAAACACAACCAGAACUCUCCCGAGCCCUGUAAUAUCCCAGUGACCUCUAAUGACACCCUGACCUUCUAACCGGCGCCAACAACUAUCAAAAUGAACUUCCACAGACUGUAAAUGGGGGUAAAGUGCACUGCUGGUGGUCUGCCAGGGUGACACUGCUGGCAAUUUACCCACAACUGAUGCUAGAUGGAACAGGACAUGACCCGUGUCUGUAGCAGAGCCGCCCUUCUUCUGCUAUAGCAAAUGUGCAAAACCUAAACACUAAAUACUAAAUAACUGAUUACAGUCUCAUAUCCACACAGUCUUUCCAUCAUUGAUUACAAUGUCUAUCCUGACUAAGCCAGACUAAAGGCCCGGUCGCACCAAGGACGAUAACUAUAAAGAUAUAGUUCUAUAAAUCGUUCUCAAUAUUAAAGAAUAGCAGAGUUCACACCACAGCAAUAUCGAUAACAGCACAGAGAAACGAUAUCGUUGGAAUCACUCUCAGAAAGAUUUUAUCCAGCUGAUGAACGACAGCCAAUCAGAAUCCAUCCAGCUGUAACAAGCUCGAGCAUUUAAAGUGACAGACAAGCUGAUCUCAGAACGAUGCUAAUAUAGCUAUCGUUAUAGUUAUCUUUCUUGGUGUGAAGAGGCCUUAAGUCUUUUAGUUAUUGUUUAAAUGCAUUAUAUUUACUUAAAUUACUAUAAUAGUAAUUGUGAUCUUUUCUAAACACCUCAGGUGCCUUUUGCUUUUAGGAUUUCAAUUCAUUUUUUUUUUUGCUGCUGGUUGUGAAGUCUCCCACUAAUACCCGUUGUUCGAGUCAACAAAUCUAAAAAAGUAUGGCUAUAAAAACAGCAUCAUGAGCACAUGAAAAAAAAUGGAUAUCUAGAAAAAUAAAAUUCUUUGUAUCCUACAUCCGGGACCCAUGGAUCUGGAACAGCUGCAAAAGAGUUGGAAAAUAUAUUAUAGUCACAGAAAUACACUACUGUUCAAAAGUUUGGGGUCAGUAUGAUUUCUUUGGAAGAAAUUUGUACUUUUUUUCUGCAAGGAUGCAUUAAUUUGAUCAAAAGUUAAGGCAACGACAUUUAUAAUAUUACAGAAGAUUUUUAUCCUCUUUUGAACCUUAU